UACAGAGACCUCAAGCGUUAUCCGGAUUUAUUGGGCGUAAAGCGCAGGUAGGCGGGUAUGUUAGUCGGAUGUCAAAGCCCAGGGCUCAACCCUGGACCGGCAUUCGAAACGGCAUAUCUAGAGGAUGUGAGAGAUCAGUGGAAUUGAUGGUGUAGUAGUGAAAUGCGUUGAUAUCAUCAAGAACACCCAAGGCGAAGGCAACUGAUUGGCACAUAUCUGACGCUGAGCUGCGAAAGCGUGGGUAGCGAAUGGG
rnacentral:rRNA from 1 species